rnacentral:rRNA from 1 species
UUCGGGGUACUCGAGCGGCGAACGGGUGAGUAACACGUGAGCAACCUGCCCUAGGCUUUGGGAUAACCCCGGGAAACCGGGGCUAAUACCGAAUAUGACCACCGGCCGCAUGGCUGGUGGUGGAAAGUUUUUCGGCCUGGGAUGGGCUCGCGGCCUAUCAGCUUGUUGGUGGGGUGAUGGCCUACCAAGGCGACGACGGGUAGCCGGCCUGAGAGGGCGACCGGCCACACUGGGACUGAGACACGGCCCAGACUCCUACGGGAGGCAGCAGUGGGGAAUAUUGCACAAUGGGCGGAAGCCUGAUGCAGCGACGCCGCGUGAGGGAUGACGGCCUUCGGGUUGUAAACCUCUUUCAGCAGGGACGAAGCGAAAGUGACGGUACCUGCAGAAGAAGCACCGGCCAACUACGUGCCAGCAGCCGCGGUAAGACGUAGGGUGCGAGCGUUGUCCGGAUUUAUUGGGCGUAAAGAGCUCGUAGGCGGCUUGUCGCGUCGACUGUGAAAACCCGCAGCUCAACUGCGGGCCUGCAGUCGAUACGGGCAGGCUAGAGUUCGGUAGGGGAGACUGGAAUUCCUGGUGUAGCGGUGAAAUGCGCAGAUAUCAGGAGGAACACCGAUGGCGAAGGCAGGUCUCUGGGCCGAUACUGACGCUGAGGAGCGAAAGCGUGGGGAGCGAACAGGAUUAGAUACCCUGGUAGUCCACGCUGUAAACGUUGGGCGC